CGCGUUGGGAGCUCUCCCAUAUGGUCGACCUGCAGGCGGCCGCGAAUUCACUAGUGAUUAGAGUUUGAUCAUGGCUCAGAUUGAACGCUGGCGGCAGGCUUAACACAUGCAAGUCGAGCGGAGUGAUGGUGCUUGCACUGUCACUUAGCGGCGGACGGGUGAGUAAUGCUUAGGAAUCUGCCUAUUAGUGGGGGACAACAUUUCGAAAGGAAUGCUAAUACCGCAUACGUCCUACGGGAGAAAGCAGGGGAUCUUCGGACCUUGCGCUAAUAGAUGAGCCUAAGUCGGAUUAGCUAGUUGGUGGGGUAAAGGCCUACCAAGGCGACGAUCUGUAGCGGGUCUGAGAGGAUGAUCCGCCACACUGGGACUGAGACACGGCCCAGACUCCUACGGGAGGCAGCAGUGGGGAAUAUUGGACAAUGGGCGCAAGCCUGAUCCAGCCAUGCCGCGUGUGUGAAGAAGGCCUUAUGGUUGUAAAGCACUUUAAGCGAGGAGGAGGCUACUGAAGUUAAUACCUUCAGAUAGUGGACGUUACUCGCAGAAUAAGCACCGGCUAACUCUGUGCCAGCAGCCGCGGUAAUACAGAGGGUGCAAGCGUUAAUCGGAUUUACUGGGCGUAAAGCGCGCGUAGGCGGCUAAUUAAGUCAAAUGUGAAAUCCCCGAGCUUAACUUGGGAAUUGCAUUCGAUACUGGUUAGCUAGAGUGUGGGAGAGGAUGGUAGAAUUCCAGGUGUAGCGGUGAAAUGCGUAGAGAUCUGGAGGAAUACCGAUGGCGAAGGCAGCCAUCUGGNCUAACACUGACGCUGAGGUGCGAAAGCAUGGGGAGCAAACAGGAUUAGAUACCCUGGUAGUCCAUGCCGUAAACGAUGUCUACUAGCCGUUGGGGCCUUUGAGCUUUAGUGGCGCAGCUAACGCGAUAAGUAGACCGCCUGGGGA
rnacentral:rRNA from 1 species